rnacentral:rRNA from 1 species
AAUGAACGCUGGCGGCAGGCCUGACACAUGCAAGUCGAACGGAUCCUUCGGGAUUAGUGGCGGACGGGUGAGUAACGCGUGGGAACAUACCCUUUGGAACGGAAUAGCCUCGGGAAACUGGGAGUAAUACCGUAUGUGGUCGAGAGACGAAAGAUUUAUCGCCAAAGGAUUGGACCGCGUUGGAUUAGGUAGUUGGUGGGGUAAUGGCCUACAAAGCCGACGAUUCAUAGCUGGUUUGAGAGGAUGAUCAGCCACCCUGGGACUGAGACACGGCCCAGACUCCUACGGGAGGCAGCAGUGGGGAAUCUUAGACAAUGGGGGAAACCCUGAUCUAGCCAUGCCGCGUGAUCGAUGAAGGCCUUAGGGUUGUAAAGAUCUUUCAGGUGGGAAGAUAAUGACUGUACCACCAGAAGAAGCCCCGGCUAACUCCGUGCCAGCCGCCGCCGUAA